UAUUAUGCUUUGAAAAGAAAUAGUAGUAUCGAUGCAUUUUUAGAGAACUGUCGGUUGGUGUAAGACAGUAAUGAUAAGAUAUGAACUCGUCUUUGAGCUUGCUGCAGGAAAUGGCAGCACGGAGAAAACCGUUAUUCUAAUUGAGUGAAGGCAUUUUUAUGCUUUAACUAGAGUGGUACCGCGGAAGUUAGCUUUUCGUCUCUAAU
rnacentral:ncRNA from 1 species